rnacentral:rRNA from 1 species
AAGUAAAAGUCGUAACAAGGUUUCCGUAGGUGAACCUGCGGAAGGAUCAUUACCGAGUGAGGGCUCCUCGCGAGCCCUAUCUCCCACCCGUGUCUACCACUACCGCGUUGCUUUGGCGGGCCCACUGAGGCCUCGCUUCGGUCGCCGGGGGACUGCCGUCCCCGGGCCCGUGCCCGCCAGAGCGCCUCUGAACCCUGUGUGAACAGUGAGUCUGAGUAUCUUAUUGAAUUAUUAAAACUUUCAACAACGGAUCUCUUGGUUCCGGCAUCGAUGAAGAACGCAGCGAAAUGCGAUAAGUAAUGUGAAUUGCAGAAUUCCGUGAAUCAUCGAAUCUUUGAACGCACAUUGCGCCCUCUGGCAUUCCGGAGGGCAUGCCUGUCCGAGCGUCAUUUCUGCCCUCCAGCGCGGCUGGGUAUUGGGUGCUGUCCCUCACGGGACACGCCCGAAAGGCAGUGGCGGCGCUGCGUCGGUCCUCGAGCGUAUGGAGCUUUGUCACCUGCUCGGGAGGGACUUGCGGGCGUCGGUCUUCCUUGGACUGGCCUCUCUCGGGGCCGGUCCUCCUCACGGUUGACCUCGGAUCAGGUAGGGUUACCCGCUGAACUUAAGCAUAUCAAUAAGCGGAGG